ACCGGUCCGCAGUGCAAAAAAGGUUGGGGACCCCUGGCUUAAAGGGUCCAGCGGCUCAUAUAGGCAGAAAUUUCAUUAGCCAUGUCAGCUAACUAGCUGCAAGCUCUGGAAGAUGCUUUUGGCCCCGCUGGAAGUGCUGCCGAUCUUAGAAUGACACAUUUCAGGAGGAAGAGAAGUUGCCUUCAUUUUCAGUCACUCACCACAGACUCUGACCUUCUCUCGUAAUGACAGCAUGUAUGUGGCUGAGCCAGUAGAAUUUCUAGUCAAUGCUGUCUGCCAGAAUUUGAUAUUGGGCAUUUUACCAAUGAUACUGCCAUUGGAUUAUAAGGAUGUUCUUCUGCAAACCACUGUUGUGACGCGUGCCUGUUUGAGUUACUGUCGCGUUCCUGUCACCAGGAUGGCCAUUCUCCUCUGACCUUAUUAACAAGACAGUUUCACCCAUAGAACUGCUACUCACUGGAUGUUUAUUUGCUUUUCGUACCAUCCUCUGUAGAGACUGCUGUGCAUGAAAAUCCCUGGAGGUCAGCAGUUUCUGAGAUACUCAAACCACCCCGUUUGGCUCCAACAAACAUCGCACAGUCAAAUCUAUUUAGAUCAUAUUCUUCCCCAUCCUGA